rnacentral:rRNA from 1 species
UGGGGAAUUUUGGACAAUGGGCGCAAGCCUGAUCCAGCAAUGCCGCGUGCAGGAAGAAGGCCUUCGGGUUGUAAACUGCUUUUGUCAGGGAAGAAAUCUUCUGGGCUAAUACCCCGGGAGGAUGACGGUACCUGAAGAAUAAGCACCGGCUAACUACGUGCCAGCAGCCGCGGUAAUACGUAGGGUGCGAGCGUUAAUCGGAAUUACUGGGCGUAAAGCGUGCGCAGGCGGCUUUGCAAGACAGAUGUGAAAUCCCCGGGCUCAACCUGGGAACUGCAUUUGUGACUGCAAGGCUGGAGUGCGGCAGAGGGGGAUGGAAUUCCGCGUGUAGCAGUGAAAUGCGUAGAUAUGCGGAGGAACACCGAUGGCGAAGGCAAUCCCCUGGGCCUGUACUGACGCUCAUGCACGAAAGCGUGGGGAGCAAACAGGAUUAGAUACCCUGGUAGUCCACGCCCUAAACGAUGUCAACUGGUUGUUGGACGGCUUGCUGUUCAGUAACGAAGCUAACGCGUGAAGUUGACCGCCUGGGGAGUACGGCCGCAAGGUUG